rnacentral:lncRNA from 1 species
UCACCUACACCGGGGCGUGGGGAACGUCGCUUCCUGCACCCCACAUGCCCUGCGCUCCUGGGGCUCUCCCACAGGGGGCUUUCGUGAGCCAGGAAGCAAGGGUCAUCCCCCUGCUCCAGCCCAGCCAGGCUGCACAGGCAGAAGGACUCUCCCAACCUGCCCGAGCAUGCGGGGCUUUGUGUUCACUGUCCUGGCCCCUCCCUCCGAAACUGGGGCUCUCCCAUCCUCAGACUCCCUGGUGGCCUCCGAACCCCAACAAAUGACAGGAAGACCAGAACCCACAGCGCGACGGCCUGCUGGGCGCGUGCUCAGUGGGACAGCUUGGGGCCCCUCAAGCUGAGUCACAGGGGAAAGGUGUGCUUGCACCACCCACGUCCCACCGGAGUCCGUGGUGGGGCUGGAGCCCCAGGUCGCCAGGGCGGCAUGGGAACCCGAAGACGGGGCACCUUCACCUCCCGAGCUCGUGACCCCGGAGGCCUCCGCGUCAAGCGCAGAUGCCAGCCAACCGGGCACCUCCCAACCGCUCCAGGAGCCGGGGCUCUCGUCUGCACUCACCUCCAGCCUGUUAGAUGAGCUCCUGUCAACCCCAGAGUUUCAGCAAAAGGCACAACCUUUCCUAGAUCCGGCGCCACUGGGGGAGCUGAAGGACGUGGAAGAGCCCGCUUUGCUGGAACCACUCCUCAGACAGGAAGAACACAGGGCUCUGCUGGAGGAG